rnacentral:sRNA from 1 species
GAUGCAGAAGAGUGAGAGAGCUUAGGCAUUCAGGAAGCUCAGAGUAGUUUAGUGUGGCUGAAAUGUGAGUGAGUGACCAAAGAUGAAGCUGGUAAGGCAGGCAGGAGCCAGAUCAUAAAGGACCAUGUUAAGGAGUUUGAACUUUAACCUGAUAUGGGUGGCUAGCCAUUGAGGGAUAUUAAGCAGGGAAAUAACAUAAGGUCAGAUUUCUGGUUUGCAUAAAACUAUCUGUAGUAAUAUGGGUACAUUGUGGGAGUGGCCCAGAAAGCUGUCGUAGACAGUCAAGGGGCCUUUGAGGAGGGAGAAUUCGGGGGUGUUUUGGAGCUAAGGACUAUGUUUCCAUCUGUGUGGCACAUCUUGGGAGAACAUUCUGAAGCCCUUUACUAGAGAUACCCUGGACAGGAGGAUAUCCUAAUGAUUGUUAGUUGGGGAAUCAGUCCCAGAGUGAGUGACCAGCAAGUUAGAGGCUGACCUGGGACUAAGGUCCAGGUCCAGCAUGUUUUGAUAUUCUGCUUUCCCUUGUCUUUACACCACAGGAUCCAGUGCUGCCUCCUUGUACCCUGUGCUCAACUUUCUACUCUACGUGCCUGAGCUUGCACAUUCACCGCUGUACAUUCAGGACAAGGAUGGCGCUCCAGUGGCCACCAAUGCCUUCCACAGUCCCCGCUGGGGUGGCAUUAUGGUAAUAGUCACACUACGCAGACCCCAGAGCCCAUGCUUUUGGGACAGGCAGGUGUCCCUGAAACUGUGUUCCUUCUGUUUUCCUUCUGGUGACCUCCAUGGCCCAGCCUGUGGGAGGGGCAGGCACCAGGGAGGUGAGGGUGCUAUGUGCUCAUGCCCCUCUUCUGCCGGCCCCACUUUUGCUUCUGCCAGUGUUUUCUAUACUAUGACCCUUUGCCCUUACCUAGGAUCAUUCUGUGUCUAUCUUAGAUCUUGGCCUUAUUUGUGGGAGUCUUGCAAGAUUGGGAGCCUUGUCUCCCUUGUUAGACUGGAAGUUUCUCAUGGGGGAGAAUUCUAAAAUGGGAUAAGAAAAAAAUAUGUUCUGCAGGACUUUCAAGGGGGUAAUAGGGAUAAUGUAUUUAAUGCUCCCUGUAGUAGGUACUUAAAAAAUAUUAGCUAUACCAUGAGGUUUAUAGCUUCUAAAGAGCACAGAAUAUGUCUUCCUUUUCUCUCCAGAGUGCCUAGGGCAGAGCUGUGCAUGGGCCUGGUAUGAUGUUGUGGUAAUCUCAUUCCCCCUUUCAGGUAUAUAAUGUUGACUCCAAAACCUAUAAUGCUUCAGUGCUGCCAGUGAGAGUCGAGGUGGACAUGGUGCGAGUGAUGGAGGUGUUCCUGGCACAGUUGCGGUUGCUCUUUGGGAUUGCUCAGCCCCAGGUGCCUCCAAAAUGCCUGCUUUCAGGGCCUAAGAGUGAAGGACUAAUGACCUGGGAGCUAGACCGGCUGCUCUGGGCUCGGUCAGUGGAGAACCUGGCCACAGCCACCACCACCCUCACCUCCCUGGCGCAGCUUCUGGGCAAGAUCAGCAACAUUGUCAUUAAGGACGACGUGGCAUCUGAGGUUUACAGGGCUGUAGCUGCUGUCCAGAAAUCAGCAGAAGAGUUGGCCUCUGGGCAUCUGGCAUCUGCCUUUGUCGCCAGCCAGGAAGCUGUGACAUCCUCUGAGCUUGCCUUUUUUGACCCGUCACUCCUCCACCUCCUUUAUUUCCCUGAUGACCAGAAGUUUGCCAUCUACAUCCCACUCUUCCUGCCUAUGGCUGUGCCCAUCCUCCUGUCCCUGGUCAAGAUCUUCCUGGAGACCCGCAAGUCCUGGAAAAAGCCUCAGAAGACAGACUGAGCAGGACAGCACCUCCAUAGGAAGCCUUCCUUUCUGGCCAAGGUGGGCGGUGUUAGAUUGAGAGGCACGUACAUGGGGCCUGCCGGAGUGACUUAAAUAUUUGUCUCCAGUCUCCACUGUUGGCUCUCCAGCAACCAAAGUACAACACUCCAAGAUGGGUUCAUCUUUUCUUCCUUUCCCAUUCACCUGGCUCAAUCCUCCUCCACCGCCAGGGGCCUCAAAAGGCACAUCAUCCGGGUCUCCUUAUCUUGUUUGAUAAGGCUGCUGCCUGUCUCCCUCUGUGGCAAGGACUGUUUGUUCUUUUGCCCCACUUCUCAACAUAGCACAUUCGUGCACUGAGAGGAGGGAGCAUUAUGGGAAAGUCCCUCCCUUCCACACUUCUCUCUAGUCCCUGUGGGACAGCCCUAGCCCCUGCCGUCAUGAAGGGGCCAGGCAUUGGUCACCUCUGGGACCUUCUCCCUCACUCCCCUCCCUCCUAGUUGGCUUUGUCUGUCAGGUACAGUCUGGCAGGAGUCCAGGAGGCAGCAGCUCAGGACAUGGUGCUUGUGUGUGUGAGGUUCCAGAAAGUUCCAGAUUUGGAAUCAAACAGUCCUGAAUUCAAAUCCUUGUUUUUGCACUUAUUGUCUGGAGAGCUUUGGAUAGCUGUUGAAUCUCUCUGAGCCUCAGUUUUUCACUCGUUCAAAUGGCACUGAUGAUGUCUCCCUUACAAGGUGGUUGUGAGGAUUAAAUGUGAUCAGCAUGUAAAGUGUCUGGCGUAUAGUAGGCUCUUAAUAAACACUGGCUGAAUAUGAAUUGGAAUGAUA